GUUGGGGGUUGGGUGUGCGGGUGGCUGGUGUAAGGUGGGGGGCGAGGCGGGCCUGCGCCGGCGUACACCGUUGAUGCUGACGAGGUCCGACCAGCUAGGUGUGUAACAGGUGUGAGGUAUCCAAAGAAAUGAAACGUAGCUCUAAAUGGUUCCUGCUUACCUUUGUUGUUGCUUGCAGCCUUCUGUUUGUUUCCAGAACUGGAAUGGGGACAGGUGACGUGGGUCAUGUCCUGACCUCCGCCCCCAGUCCUGCCCUCUCCUUCACCCCCAUCCCCGAUCCGCACUCUGACCCCGCCUGUGACCGGGUCUUCAGCCUGUCCGACUCGCGCCCCUUCUGGGAGGCGGCGGACGCGGUGCUGCCGGGCUGCGGCGCCUCCGGGC